UUUAAUAAUAAAAAUUUGAAAGUGAAUGGUGAUAUUUGAUGGAAAAAGGAAACGACGUCGACUUUUUAUUUCAAUAUUAAUAGCCUACCCUUCUCAACUUUAUGGGAGAGGUUGAGGCCAUGUCCGGCGUAGAUUUCAACGCUCUCUCUUUCCCCUCUCUGUUUCUCCUUUUUAAUCAACAAUCCAAUUUUUCAAAAGAAAAAGAAAAAGGAAGACUCGAAAAUCAAAACAACAGCAAGAAUAAUCUUCUGCUUUUUAAAGUUUUUGGCGUGGGAAAAGAGAAAGCAUUAAUGGGUGGCUUAAAUUUGAGCAGAAGCCAGGGGAAAAAAAAAUACUAUGCGUUUUUAAAAGGAGAGAAAAAAAUGUAAAAUGUAAGAAAUAAAGAGUAUCUUUGUUGUAAGAUAAAGUUGAUUGUAAGGUUUAAAAUCAAGAUACGUUAUUUAAUUUUUUAGAUUACGAUAAGAUAUAUUAUAUUUAAUAAUUUAAAAUAAAUUAUUAUA
rnacentral:lncRNA from 1 species